rnacentral:rRNA from 1 species
AGUGAACGCUGGCGGUAGGCCUAACACAUGCAAGUCGAACGGCAGCACAGUAAGAGCUUGCUCUUACGGGUGGCGAGUGGCGGACGGGUGAGGAAUACAUCGGAAUCUACUUUUUCGUGGGGGAUAACGUAGGGAAACUUACGCUAAUACCGCAUACGACCUACGGGUGAAAGCAGGGGAUCUUCGGACCUUGCGCGAUUGAAUGAGCCGAUGUCGGAUUAGCUAGUUGGCGGGGUAAAGGCCCACCAAGGCGACGAUCCGUAGCUGGUCUGAGAGGAUGAUCAGCCACACUGGAACUGAGACACGGUCCAGACUCCUACGGGAGGCAGCAGUGGGGAAUAUUGGACAAUGGGCGCAAGCCUGAUCCAGCUAUACUGCGUGGGUGAAGAAGGCCUUCGGGUUGUAAAGCCCUUUUGUUGGGAAAGAAAAGCAGCAGGUUAAUACCCCGCUGUUCUGACGGUACCCAAAGAAUAAGCACCGGCUAACUUCGUG